CGCGUAGGCGGCCUGGUCAGUCGGAUGUGAAAGCCCCGGGCUUAACCUGGGAAUGGCAUUCGAUACUGCCAGGCUAGAAUGUAGUAGAGGGAAGUGGAAUUCCAGGUGUAGCGGUGAAAUGCGUAGAUAUCUGGAGGAACAUCAGUGGCGAAGGCGACUUCCUGGACUAACAUUGACGCUGAGGUGCGAAAGCGUGGGGGGCGAACAGGAUUAGAUACCCUGGUAGUCC
rnacentral:rRNA from 1 species